rnacentral:rRNA from 1 species
CUCCUACGGGAUGCAGCAGUGGGGAAUUUUGCGCAAUGGGGGAAACCCUGACGCAGCAACGCCGCGUGGAGGAUGAAGUAUCUUGGUACGUAAACUCCUUUCGAUUGGGAAGAUAAUGACGGUACCAAUAGAAGAAGCCCCGGCUAACUUCGUGCCAGCAGCCGCGGUAAUAC